CGCCUGUAACAUUAUCUGACUCACGAUGGAGAGUUUUGAAAAAAAAAAUCAAAAUCAAUGCAACAGAGACAUCAUCUUUUGUAUUCCACGCAUUUUUUCUUCUUUGUCAAAACCUGGCGCCUACAUUACCCACAAUGCAACUCCACCGCCGACAGUUCAGUCAGUGAUUCUGGGGUGUGAUGCUAGUAGCAGCUAAUGUUGCCUCAAGCAGGGAUGAGAAGCAGCUGCAGAGGUCUGAUCAAUGUACUCCAGAGGGAUCUGACUCGAAGCUACGGGGCGAGAUGUUAUCCAAAUAAGAGCCAAAGGAAGCAGUCUUCCCCUGAUGAGGGAAAAAGACACCAAGAAGCUCCACUAGACUGAAGGUUUUCUUUCUCAUCAGAUUCAGCUCUCGGAAAGAGAGAGGAAAUACAAAUUCCAGAGGAACAAAGAGGUGAUUGCAGUGGAUUGA